GUCUUCGUGAUGUAGUGGUCAGCACACUCGGCUCGUAUUCGAGAGAUUCGUGGUUCGAGUCUCGGCGAAUGCA
rnacentral:tRNA from 1 species